CGCACAUUGCGCCCAUUAGUAUUCUAGUGGGCAUGCCUGUUCGAGCGUCAUUUCAAACCCUUAAGCCCUGUUGCUUAGCGUUGGGAGCCUGCCGUAAAAGGCAGCUCCUCAAAGUCAUCGGCGGAGUUUCAGCAAUCUCUAAGCGUAGUAAUUCGUUCUCGCUUCUGAAGUGCUGUGGCCCCUGCCGCUAAACCCCCAAUUUUUCAGGUUUGACCUCGGAUCAGGUAGGAAUACCCGCUGAACUUAA
rnacentral:misc_RNA from 1 species